AUGCUAUUCCCCACCCGUCCCUGUAAAUCCCAAGCUCCUGCCGCCGUAGCUGCUAUCUGCAGCCUCCGCCUCCCCUCCUCAUCGCCGGCGCUUAUCCCUCCCCCGUAUCACGACGACAACCCAUUCGCCUCACUACUUACUUCCGAUCCCCCUCCGCCGGAUCCGCUCCGCCAGGUUCUCGCCACGGGAGACGUCCACGGCGCGCUCCGCGGCCUCCCUGGCCUCGCUCGCCAGCUGUUCCGGUGGGCGGAGGGCACCCCGCACGGUUUCCCCCGCUCCGCCUCCGCAUUCGCCGCCGUCCUUGUCCCGCUCGCUGAGGCCAGGAGCAACCGCUCCGCUUAUCCCGUCUCCCUCCGCGCUAUCCAGGCUGGCCUUCUCCUUCCCCUCAUCUCUCUCCUCCUCACGUAUCCCCUGUCCCCCUCCUCCCACCACCUCCUCAACUUCCUCUUACGCAUGUCCACCAAGUUUGUGCCCGAAUGCCAAGCUCAGGACCCUGCGCCCACCAGCUGUUGGACGCAAUGCCUUUCCGCCUUCCAAGAGAUGGCGCGUCAAGGUGUCGCCCCUUAUGUCAAGGUGUGCAACUGCGUGCUCUCUGUGCUGUGCGACGCGGCCAUGUGGGACGACAUGCGUGCUGUGUAUUCAGAUAUGCUUCAGCUUGGGGUUGAGCCAUCCAUUGUCACAUACAAUACAUUGCUGGAUUCUUUUUGUAAGGCAGGGAGGAUCGAUCAGGCUGUCAUGCUGCUCAAGGAUAUGGAGGCCCAAGUUGCUGGGUGCUUGCCGAAUGAUGUCACCUAUAAUGUGGUGAUCAGUGGGCUGGCCAGGAACGGUGAGCUGGACAAGGCGGCUCAACUGGUUGACAGAAUGCGGUUGUCCAAACAAGCGUCAGCCUUCACAUACAAUCCACUUAUCAGUGGGUUGUUAGCAAGGGGUUUUGUUGAAAAGGCUGAUGCUUUGCAGCAGGAGAUGCAGAAUGAUGGCAUUGUGCCAACGGUGGUGACAUACAAUACAUUCAUUCAUGGGUUAUUUAAAAGAGGGAACGUGGAGGCGGCAGAGUUGAAAUUUCUGGAAAUGAGGGCAAUGGGGUUGCAGCCAGAUUUGAUUACUUACAAUUCCUUGAUAAAUGGGCAUUGUAAGGCAUGUAAUUUGAAGCAGGCACUUUGGUUGCUUGGUGAUUUGAGACGUGCAGGGCUAGCACCAACAGUUAUGACAUAUAACAUCCUUAUAGAUGGCUAUUGUAGAUUAGGUAAUUUAGGGGGGGCUAUGAGAUUCAAGGAGGAGAUGAGAGCAGAGUGCUGCCUGCCUGAUGUUUGUACAUAUACUAUUCUUAUGAAUGGGUCAUGUAAGGUCAAGAACAUUGCUAUGGUAAGGGUGUUCUUUGAUGAAAUGCUGAGUAAGGGUUUAAAGCCAGACUGCUUUGCUUACAACACAAGGAUUUCAGCAGAGCUGACUCUAGGUGCUAUUUCCGAUGCUUUUCAGUUGAGGGAGGAGAUGAUGCCGAGUGGAAUUUCUUACGAUACAGUUACAUAUAAUAUUCUUAUUGAUGGACUGUGCAAGGCUGGUAGCCUGAAAGAUGCCUAUGUGUUGUGGAUGAAGAUGGUCAGUGAUGGUUUACAACUUGACUGUGUCACAUACACUUGCUUGAUUCAUGCACAUUGUAAGCGGGGGCUUCUAAGGAAAGCAAAUAAUAUUUUUCGUGGCAUGGUUGCAAGUGGUUUGUCACCCUCGGCUGUGACCUAUACCAUUUUUAUUCACACAUACUGUAGGGUGGGAGAUCUUGAUUCAGCAUAUGGCUGGUUCCGGAAGAUGCUGGAGGAAGGAGUGGAACCUAAUGAAGUAACAUAUAAUGUGCUCAUGAAUGCACUAUGCCGGAUAGGGAGAACUGAAUUGGCUUAUCAAUAUUUUCAUGAGAUGCUGGAGAGAGGAUUGGUGCCAAACAAAUACACAUACACUUUGUUGAUAGACGGGAACUGUAAAAAAGGUAACUGGGUGGAGGCUGUAAGGUUGUACUGCGAAAUGCAUCAGAAAGGUAUUCAUCCAGACCAUUGUACACAUAAUGCCUUGUUUAAGGGAUUUGGCGAAGAUCACAUGCACGACACAAUUCAGUACUUGGAGAAUGUUGUUUUGGGUGCA
rnacentral:rRNA from 1 species